rnacentral:rRNA from 1 species
GAUAAACGCUGGCGGCAUGCCUAAUACAUGCAAGUCGAACGAUCUCGACCUUCGGGUCAAUGAGAUAGUGGCGAACGGGUGAGUAACACGUAAGAAAUCUGCCCUUAAGACGAGGAUAACUGUUGGAAACGAUAGCUAAUACUGGAUAGGACAUAAAAACCGCAUGGUUUAAUGUUUAAAGGCGCGUAUGCGCUGCUUUAGGAUGAUCUUGCGCUGUAUUAGUUAGUUGGUGAGGUAAUGGCUCACCAAGACGAUGAUACAUAGCUGGUCUGAGAGGAUGAACAGCCACACUGGGACUGAGACACGGCCCAGACUCCUACGGGAGGCAGCAGUAGGGAAUUUUCGGCAAUGGGCGAAAGCCUGACCGAGCAAUGCCGCGUGAACGAUGAAGGUCUUCGGAUCGUAAAGUUCUGUUGUUAAGGAAGAACAGGUAGAAUAGGAAAUGAUUCUGCCCUGACGGUACUUAACCAGAAAGCUCCGG